rnacentral:rRNA from 1 species
UACAAGCCCGUCUCGUACGGCAACGGUUGACCUCGGAUCAGGUAGGAAUACCCGCUGAACUUAA